CAGAUGUCACAGAAGUUACCACUUCCUGAAAUAACUAAAAACGACUCAGAGAUCCUUGCCGCCAACCUCAACAACACACCGUGGACAAAGCUGAAGCUGCCACUACGACACAGCACCCGGCGUGACAAGCAAGGCCUUUCUGUCCGAUAAAUCAAGGACGUCCAGGACUCCAAGGGAAAGGUGUUUACUGGAAAAGACAUUUGCGAUGUUGCAGAGGAAGACAGGGAGACAACACUGCUGAGUUCCCUAAGACUCAACAAAGCACCACUCAGGAUCAUUGAAGGGGAAGAUCAAAAGAUCAGAGCAUAAUGAGACCCAAGCUCACUUCCACCGAAUCCUCAUCUGACUGUCACUCCCCUAGAUCCCAUAUCAGGUUUCUCCCCAUGCACCCCCCC